UACGUAGGGGGCAAGCGUUGUCCGGAUUUAUUGGGCGUAAAGAGCGUGUAGGCGGUUUGGUAGGUCCGCUGUGAAAACUCGAGGCUCAACCUCGAGACGCCGGUGGAAACCAUCAGACUAGAGUCCGGAAGAGGAGAGUGGAAUUCCCGGUGUAGCGGUGAAAUGCGCAGAUAUCGGGAAGAACACCCGUAGCGAAGGCGGCUCUCUGGGACGGUACUGACGCUGAGACGCGAAAGCGUGGGGAGCGAACAGG
rnacentral:rRNA from 1 species